UACAAUGGAGAGUUUGAUCCUGGCUCAGGACGAACGCUGGCGGCGUGCUUAACACAUGCAAGUCAAGGAGAACGUUUCCUUCGGGGAAUUAUUAAACUGGCGAACGGGUGAGUAACGCGUAGGCAACCUGCCUUAGAG
rnacentral:rRNA from 1 species